AGAGUUUGAUCCUGGCUCAGGAUUAACGCUAGCGGCAGGCCUAAUACAUGCAAGUCGAACGGUAACAGGUGUAGCAAUACAUGCUGACGAGUGGCGCACGGGUGAGUAACGCGUAUGCAACCUACCUUUAACUGGGGAAUAGCUCCGAGAAAUCGGAAUUAAUACCGCAUAACAUUAUUGAAAGGCAUCUUUUGAUAAUUAAAACUCCGGUGGUUAAAGAUGGGCAUGCGUGACAUUAGUUAGUUGGUAAGGUAACGGCUUACCAAGACGUCGAUGUCUAGGGGGUCUGAGAGGAUGAUCCCCCACACUGGUACUGAGACACGGACCAGACUCCUACGGGAGGCAGCAGUAAGGAAUAUUGGUCAAUGGACGCAAGUCUGAACCAGCCAUGCCGCGUGCAGGAUGAAGGCCCUAUGGGUCGUAAACUGCUUUUGUACAGGAAGAACUUUCCCGACGUGUCGGGAACUGACGGUACUGUAAGAAUAAGGAUCGGCUAACUCCGUGCCAGCAGCCGCGGUAAUACGGAGGAUCCAAGCGUUAUCCGGAUUUAUUGGGUUUAAAGGGUGCGUAGGCGGAUUAAUAAGUCAGUGGUGAAAUCCUGCAGCUUAACUGCAGAAUUGCCGUUGAUACUGUUAAUCUUGAGUACAGUUGAGGUGGGCGGAAUGUGUCAUGUAGCGGUGAAAUGCUUAGAUAUGACACAGAACACCGAUUGCGAAGGCAGCUCGCUAAACUGUAACUGACGCUGAGGCACGAAAGCAUGGGUAGCAAACAGGAUUAGAUACCCUGGUAGUCCAUGCCCUAAACGAUGAUUACUCGAUGUGUGCGAUACACUGUACGCGUCUUAGCGAAAGCAUUAAGUAAUCCACCUGGGAAGUACGGUCGCAAGAUUGAAACUCAAAGGAAUUGACGGGGGCCCGCACAAGCGGAGGAGCAUGUGGUUUAAUUCGAUGAUACGCGAGGAACCUUACCUGGGCUUGAAAGUUAGUGACGUUCCGGGAAAUCGGAACUCCCGCAAGGGCACGAAACUAGGUGCUGCAUGGCUGUCGUCAGCUCGUGCCGUGAGGUGUUGGGUUAAGUCCCGUAACGAGCGCAACCCCUAUCAUUAGUUGCCAUCAGGUAAAGCUGGGGACUCUAAUGAGACUGCCCGCGUAAGCGGUGAGGAAGGUGGGGACGACGUCAAGUCAUCACGGCCCUUACGUCCAGGGCUACACACGUGCUACAAUGGCCAGUACAGAGGGCUGCUACCCCGCGAGGGGAUGCUAAUCCUUAAAGCUGGUCUCAGUUCGGAUCGAAGUCUGCAACUCGACUUCGUGAAGCUGGAUUCGCUAGUAAUCGGAUAUCAGCAAUGAUCCGGUGAAUACGUUCCCGGGCCUUGUACACACCGCCCGUCAAGCCAUGGAAGUUGGGGGUACCUGAAGUCGAUGACCGCAAGGAGUCGCCUAGGGUAAAACCAAUGACUGGGGCUAAGUCGUAACAAGGUA
rnacentral:rRNA from 1 species